GGAAGACGCUGAAGCGGUAGCUGUUGCCUUUGUCCAGAAAGAUGGUGUCGGGCAGCCGGGAUUCGGAUGUGAGGUUGUAGAUCUUCUUGUAGCUGUUCAUGUCGAUGUACACGCCGUCCGGGGUCUUACAGUUGCUCGACAGCGCCACGUGGGAUCGUGCACCGGGUCCGCGUAGGGCUGCGGGACGGCAGGACACGAGCUCAAAGCCUCAAGCAGGAGACACACAACGCAGCCCCCUCCUCCACCCCGGCCAUGUGGGUCCCUGUGUGUGCUUCUGGAGGCCAGAGGUCCACCGUCCAGGGAGCCCUCACUGAAUCCUGGAGUUGAGGCUAGGCUGGCACGGAUCCGCCUGUCCCUGCCUGCCAGCGCUGAGAUUACAGUCCCACGCCAUCACUCAGCUUUUUCCGUGGGUGCUAAGAUUCGAACUCAGGUUCUCAUGCUUUGCACAUCAAGCACUUUAUGACUGAGUCAUCACCUCAGCCUCUUGUGGUUUUUUUUUUUGGCGGGGGGGAGUGUUCGGUUUUUGUUUUGUUUUCAGACAGGGUCUCACUAUGUAGCCCUGGCUGUAGAUUAAGCUGUCUCAAAUUCACAGCGAUCCACCUGCCUCUGCCUCCCACGUGCUGAGAUUAAAGUGUUUCACCACCACA